rnacentral:rRNA from 1 species
CAUGCCGUAAACGAUGAUUACUAGGUGUGGGGGGUCUGACCCCCUCCGUGCCGGAGUUAACACAAUAAGUAAUCCACCUGGGGAGUACGACCGCAAGGUUGAAACUCAAAGGAAUUGACGGGGGCCCGCACAAGCAGUGGAGUAUGUGGUUUAAUUCGAAGCAACGCGAAGAACCUUACCAGGUCUUGACAUCCUACUAACGAAGCAGAGAUGCAUUAGGUGCCCUUCGGGGAAAGUAGAGACAGGUGG